rnacentral:rRNA from 1 species
GUUGUAUGGUUAAGUGACUAAGCGUACAUGGUGGAUGCCUUGGCAGUCAGAGGCGAUGAAGGACGUACUAACCUGCGAUAAGCUGUGAGAAGUCGGUAAGAGACGCUAUUACUCACAGAUUUCCGAAUGGGGAAACCCACCCAAGAUAACUUGGGUAUCGUUACAUGAAUACAUAGUGUAACGAGGCGAACCGGGAGAACUGAAACAUCUAAGUACCCCGAGGAAAAGAAAUCAACCGAGAUUCCCUCAGUAGCGGCGAGCGAACGGGGAUUAGCCCUUAAGCAUCUUGGAAGUUAGUGGAACGGUCCUGGAAAGGCCGGCGAUACAGGGUGAUAGCCCCGUACACGAAAACAACCUUGAUGUGAAAUCGAGUAGGGCGGGACACGUGACAUCCUGUCUGAAUAUGGGGGGACCAUCCUCCAAGGCUAAAUACUCCUGACUGACCGAUAGUGAACCAGUACCGUGAGGGAAAGGCGAAAAGAACCCCUGUGAGGGGAGUGAAAUAGAACCUGAAACCGUGUACGUACAAGCAGUGGGAGCCCUUCGGGGUGACUGCGUACCUUUUGUAUAAUGGGUCAGCGACUUACAUUUUGUAGCGAGGUUAACCGUAUAGGGGAGCCGUAGGGAAACCGAGUCUUAACUGGGCGUCUAGUUGCAAGGUGUAGACCCGAAACCGGGUGAUCUAGCCAUGGGCAGGUUGAAGGUUGAGUAACAUCAACUGGAGGACCGAACCCACUAACGUUGCAAAGUUAGGGGAUGACCUGUGGCUGGGGGUGAAAGGCCAAUCAAACUCGGAGAUAGCUGGUUCUCCCCGAAAGCUAUUUAGGUAGCGCCUCGGACGAAUACUACUGGGGGUAGAGCACUGUUUGGGCUAGGGGGUCAUCCCGACUUACCAACCCCAUGCAAACUCCGAAUACCAGUAAGUAAUAUCCGGGAGACACACGGCGGGUGCUAACGUCCGUCGUGAAGAGGGAAACAACCCAGACCGCCGGCUAAGGUCCCAAAGUUCUGGUUAAGUGGGAAACGAUGUGGGAAGGCUCAGACAGCUAGGAUGUUGGCUUAGAAGCAGCCAUCAUUUAAAGAAAGCGUAAUAGCUCACUAGUCGAGUCGGCCUGCGCGGAAGAUGUAACGGGGCUCAAACCAGGCACCGAAGCCGCGGAUUCACACUUAUGUGUGAGUGGUAGGGGAGCGUUCUGUAAGUCUGCGAAGGUGUAUCGAGAGGUAUGCUGGAGAUAUCAGAAGUGCGAAUGCUGACGUAAGUAACGAUAAAGGGGGUGAAAAGCCUCCUCGCCGGAAGACCAAGGGUUCCUGUCCAACGUUAAUCGGGGCAGGGUGAGUCGACCCCUAAGGCGAGGCCGAAAGGCGUAGUCGAUGGGAAGCAGGUUAAUAUUCCUGCACGACUUGUAAUUGCGAUGGGGGGACGGAGAAGGCUAGGUGGGCCAGGCGACGGUUGUCCUGGUGAAAGUGCGUAGUGGUGUUUCUAGGCAAAUCCGGAGACACAACACUGAGACACGAGACGAACACACUACGGUGUGGGAAGCCAUUAAUGCCCUGCUUCCAGGAAAAGCCUCUAAGCUUCAGAUUACAAGUCAUCGUACCCCAAACCGACACAGGUGGUCGGGUAGAGAAUACCAAGGCGCUUGAGAGAACUCGGGUGAAGGAACUAGGCAAAAUAGAACCGUAACUUCGGGAGAAGGUUCGCUCUUGAUGGUGAAGUCCCUUGCGGAUGGAGCUGUCGGGAGUCGCAGUGACCAGAUGGCUGGGACUGUUUAUCAAAAACACAGCACUCUGCAAACACGAAAGUGGACGUAUAGGGUGUGACACCUGCCCGGUGCCGGAAGGUUAAUUGAUGGGGUUAGCGCAAGCGAAGCUCUUGAUCGAAGCCCCGGUAAACGGCGGCCGUAACUAUAACGGUCCUAAGGUAGCGAAAUUCCUUGUCGGGUAAGUUCCGACCUGCACGAAUGGUGUAACCAUGGCCAUGCUGUCUCCACCCGAGACUCAGUGAAAUCGAAUUCGCCGUGAAGAUGCGGUGUACCCGCGGCUAGACGGAAAGACCCCGUGAACCUUUACUACAGCUUGGCACUGAACAUUGAACCUACAUGUGUAGGAUAGGUGGGAGGCUUUGAAGGCGUGACGCCAGUUGCGCUGGAGCCGUCCUUGAAAUACCACCCUUGUAUGUUUGAUGUUCUAACGCAGGGCCCUGAAUCGGGCUCGCGGACAGUGCCUGGUGGGUAGUUUGACUGGGGCGGUCUCCUCCCAAAGAGUAACGGGGAGCGCGAAGGUUGGCUAAUCCUGGUCGGACAUCAGGAGGUUAGUGCAAUGGCAUAAGCCAGCUUAACUGCGAGACGGACAGGUCGAGCAGGUACGAAAGUAGGUCAUAGUGAUCCGGUGGUUCUGAAUGAAGGGCCAUCGCUCAACGGAUAAAAGGUACUCCGGGGAUAACAGGCUGAUACCGCCCAAGAGUUCAUAUCGACGGCGGUGUUUGGCACCUCGAUGUCGGCUCAUCACAUCCUGGGGCUGAAGUCGGUCCCAAGGGUAUGGCUGUUCGCCAUUUAAAGUGGUACGCGAGCUGGGUUCAGAACGUCGUGAGACAGUUCGGUCCCUAUCUGCCGUGGGCGUUGGAUGAUUGAAGGGAGUUGCUCCUAGUACGAGAGGACCGGAGUGAACGAACCUCUGGUGUUCGGGUUGUCACGCCAGUGGCACUGCCCGGUAGCUAAGUUCGGAAUCGAUAACCGCUGAAAGCAUCUAAGCGUGAAAAUCACUGUU